AGACAUUCAACACUCGGAGACGAACGAAGAGAUUUAUGGGGUUUUGUCUUUCGUUUUCUGGACUCUGACUUUGGUUCCUCUGCUCAAAUACGUAUUCAUUGUUCUCAAAGCCGACGAUAAUGGUGAAGGAGGGACCUUUGCGCUUUACUCGUUGCUCUGUCGACACGCCCGAGUCAACUCAUUGCCCAAUUGUCAGUCUGCUGAUGAGGAGCUCUCAGAAUACAAGAAGGAUGGUG
rnacentral:lncRNA from 1 species